rnacentral:rRNA from 1 species
CAGCAGCCGCGGUAAUGCGAAGGGUGCAAGCGUUAAUCGGAAUUACUGGGCGUAAAGCGUGCGUAGGCGGUGAGUUAAGUCUGCUGUGAAAUCCCCGGGCUCAACCCGGGAAUGGCAGUGGAUACUGGCUCGCUAGAGUGUGUCAGAGGAUGGUGGAAUUCCCGGUGUAGCGGUGAAAUGCGUAGAGAUCGGGAGGAACAUCAGUGGCGAAGGCGGCCAUCUGGGACAACACUGACGCUGAGGCACGAAAGCGUGGGGAGCAAACAGGAUUAGAGACCCCGGUAGUCCCUGUCUCUUAUAC